rnacentral:rRNA from 1 species
GACGAACGCUGGCGGCGUGCCUAAUACAUGCAAGUCGAGCGGAGCGGCGGACGGGUGAGUAAUGCCUAGGAAUCUGCCUGGUAGUGGGGGAUAACGUCCGGAAACGGGCGCUAAUACCGCAUACUAUCAGAUGAGCCUAGGUGGGGUUAGCUAGUUGGUGGGGUAAAGGCCUACCAAGGCGACGAUCCGUAAAUGGUCUGAGAGGAUGAUCAGUCACACGGGAACUGAGACACGGUCCAGACGCCUACGGGAGGCAGCAGUGGGGAAUAUGGGACAAUGGGCGAAAGCCUGAUACAGCCAUGCCGCGUGUGUGAAGAAGGUCUUCGGAUUGUAAAGCACUUUAAGUUGGGAGGCGUUACCAACAGAAUAAGCACCGGCUAACCUCGUGCCAGCCGCCGCGGUAAUAC